rnacentral:rRNA from 1 species
AAGACCUUGCGCUUUUGGAGCGGCCGAUGUCUGAUUAGCUAGUUGGUAGGGUAAUGGCCUACCAAAGCUUCGAUCAGUAGCUGGUCUGAGAGGACGACCAGCCACACUGGGACUGAGACACGGCCCAGACUCCUACGGGAGGCAGCAGUGGGGAAUUUUGGACAAUGGGCGCAAGCCUGAUCCAGCCAUGCCGCGUGAGUGAAGAAGGCCUUCGGGUUGUAAAGCUCUUUCAGCCGGGAAGAAAAGGCUACGACGAAUAAUCGUAGCUCAUGACGGUACCGGAAGAAGAAGCACCGGCUAACUACGUGCCAGCAGCCGCGGUAAUACGUAGGGUGCGAGCGCUAAUCGGAAUUACUGGGCGUAAAGGGUGCGCAGGCGGUUUUGUAAGUCAGAUGUGAAAUCCCCGGGCUUAACCUGGGAACU